GAUGAACGCUGGCGGCGUGCCUAACACAUGCAAGUCGAACGAACAGGCGAGGAUCUUGCGGCUCUCACGUGAGCGGCGGGCGGGUGAGUAACGCGUGUAUAACCUACCUGUAAGGCGGAGAUAACUUCGAGAAAGCGGAUCUAAUACCGGAUAAUAUAUUGAACCACAUGGUUGAAUGGUGAGAUUCGGUUGUUCUGGAACGUAUAGAUGGAUCCGGGCCGCAUGAGCUAGUUGGUAAGGUAACGGCUUACCAAGGCAACUAUGCGUAGCCGACGGGUGAGGGGGGUCGCCCACCCUGGAAGUGGACCGCGGACCAGGCUCCUAAGGGAGGCACCAGUAGCGAAUGUUCCGCAGUGGGCGAAAGCCUGGCGGAGCAGCGCAGAGUGAGUGAUGAAGGUGUUCGGUUCGUAAAACUGUGUUAUUAGUGAAGAACCAAUGUGUCAGUAACUAUGCCCGUCUUGACGGUACCUAGUCAGGAAGCACCGGCUAACUACGUG
rnacentral:rRNA from 1 species